CACCUGCUGAAUUUAAGCAUAUAAGUAAGCGGAGGACAAGAAACUAAACAGGAUCCCCAUAGUAAUGGCGAAUGAACCGGGAUAAACUCAGCAUGGAAAUUGGGGCCUUUGGCUUUGACUUGUAAUCUGGUGAGGCAUUGCCAACAGAGGCGCAUAUGUAAGUCUCUUGGAAAAGAGCAUCAACGAAGGUGAGAGUCCUGAUUGUCAUGUGCAGCCCCCCUGUGCACGGUGUGCCUUCUAAGAGUCACGUUCCUUGGGAUUGGAGCGCAAAUUGGGUGGUAACUUUCAUCUGAAGUUAAACAAUGGUUUGGGACCGAUAGGAAACAAGUACCAUGAGGGAAAGGUGAAAAGGACUUUGGAAAGAGAGUUAAAAGUGCCUGAAAUUGCUGAAGGGGAAGCGAAUGGAACCAGUGGUGCUGGGUGAGAUUGUCACAUGCUGCAAGGAUUGGUUGCUGCCACAACGCAAGUGUGCUGGCAAUUUGUGAACUGCUAGUGUGUGGUGUGUCUUACCUAGUGGGUCAUUGUGGGUUUAUGCAUUAAGAUAAAUCAAAGCAAGCGGGAGCAAGUUUACGAGUUUGUGAAUGUGUGUUGUUAUGCUUGUGCGUAAGCUUUAGUGUUUGUCUGGCUGCAGGGCUGUCCAUCCUCAAGCUUUGCUGUGGUUGCGAUGAGCAUAACCUUCUGCACAGAUCUUGACGAAAUGGUUUCAUUCGACCCGUCUUGAAACACGGACCAAGG
rnacentral:rRNA from 2 species